rnacentral:rRNA from 1 species
GAUGAACGCUGGCGGCGUGCCUAAUACAUGCAAGUCGAGCGAACGGACGAGAAGCUUGCUUCUCUGAUGUUAGCGGCGGACGGGUGAGUAACACGUGGAUAACCUACCUAUAAGACUGGGAUAACUUCGGGAAACCGGAGCUAAUACCGGAUAAUAUUUUGAACCGCAUGGUUCAAAAGUGAAAGACGGUCUUGCUGUCACUUAUAGAUGGUUCCGCGCUGCAUUAGCUAGUUGGUAAGGUAACGGCUUACCAAGGCAACGAUGCAUAGCCGACCUGAGAGGGGGAUCGGCCACACUGGAACUGAGACACGGUCCAGACUCCUACGGGAGGCAGCAGUAGGGAAUCUUCCGCAAUGGGCGAAAGCCUGACGGAGCAACGCCGCGUGAGUGAUGAAGGUCUUCGGAUCGUAAAACUCUGUUAUUAGGGAAGAACAUAUGUGUAAGUAACUGUGCACAUCUUGACGGUACCUAAUCAGAAAGCCACGGCUAACUACGUG